AUUGAACGCUGGCGGCAGGCCUAACACAUGCAAGUCGAACGAGAGGCGGACGGGUGAGUAAUGUCUGGGAAACUGCCCGAUGGAGGGGGCUAACUACUGGAAAAGGUAGCUAAUACCGCAUACCAUCGGAUGGGCCCAGAUGGGAUGAGCUAGGAGGUGGGGUAACGGCUCACCGAGGCGACGCUCCCUAGCUGGUCUGCGAGGAGGACCAGCCACACUGGAACUGAGACCAGGCCCAGACUCCGACGGGAGGCAGCAGUGGGGAAUAUUCGACAAUGGGCGCAAGUCUGAUGCAGCAAUGCCGCGUGUGUGAAGAAGGCUUUCGGGUUGUAAAGCUCUGUCGGCGAGGAGGCGUUAUUCGCAGAGGAAGCCCCGGCUAACUCCGUGCCAGCAGCCGCGGUAAUAC
rnacentral:rRNA from 1 species